GGCUGGUCCAAGUGCAGUGGUGUUUACAACUAAUUGAUCACACCACUUACAGAUUUCUUUGUUCCUUCUCCACUCCCACUGCUUCACUUGACUGGCCUUAA
ensembl:Y_RNA Y_RNA Y RNA